rnacentral:rRNA from 1 species
AUUGAACGCUGGCGGCAUGCUUUACGCAUGCAAGUCGAACGGUAACAGGCCGCAAGGUGCUGACGAGUGGCGAACGGGUGAGUAAUGCAUCGGAACGUGCCCAGUCGUGGGGGAUAACUGCCCGAAAGAGCAGCUAAUACCGCAUACGAUCUAUGGAUGAAAGCGGGGGACCGUAAGGCCUCGCGCGAUUGGAGCGGCCGAUGUCAGAUUAGGUAGUUGGUGGGGUAAAGGCUCACCAAGCCAACGAUCUGUAGCUGGUCUGAGAGGACGACCAGCCACACUGGGACUGAGACACGGCCCAGACCCCUACGGGAGGCAGCAGUGGGGAAUUUUGGACAAUGGGGGCAACCCUGAUCCAGCAAUGCCGCGUGCAGGAAGAAGGCCUUCGGGUUGUAAACUGCUUUUGUACGGAACGAAACGGUCUGGGUUAAUACCCAGGGCUAAUGACGGUACCGUAAGAAGAAGCCCCGGCUAACUACGUGCCAGCAGCCGCCGUAAUAC